CAUCCAUACGCCAAUCCAUAACGUAUGGAAGGGAACCCGGUGAACUGAAACAUCUAAGUAGCCGGAGGAAAAGAAAGAAAACUCGAUUCCCAGAGUAGCGGCGAGCGAAAUGGGAGGAGCCUAAACCAGCGUGCGUGCAUGCUGGGGUUAUGGACUGCAUAAGUUACUGGAAACGAUAGUGGAAUGGUUUUGGGAAAGCCAGCCAGAGAGGGUGAAAGCCCCGUACACGAAAUCCGGACCGGGACGGCAGGAUCCAGAGUACCACGAGACACGUGGAACCUUGUGGGAAGUCGGGGGGACCACCCCCCAAGGCUAAAUACUCCUUAGUGACCGAUAGCGCAUAGUACUGUGAAGGAAAGGUGAAAAGGACCCCGGGAGGGGAGUGAAAGAGAACCUGAAACCCUGUGUUUACAAGCUGUGGGAGCACCUUAUGAGUGCGACCGCGUACUUUUUGUAGAACGGUCCGGCGAGUUACGCUGGCUGGCGAGGUUAAACGGUAGAGCCGUGGAGCCGAAGGGAAACCAAGUCUUAAGAGGGCGGAAAAGUCAGUCAGAGUAGACCCGAAACCGGGUGAUCUAUCCAUGUCCAGGUUGAAGUUGCCGUAAAAGGCAAUGGAGGACCGAACCCACAUCCGUUGAAAAGGGUGGGGAUGAGGUGUGGAUAGGGGAGAAAUUCCAAUCGAACCCGGAGAUAGCUGGUUCUCCUCGAAAUAGCUUUAGGGCUAGCCUCGAUAGAGUCUUGCGGAGGUAGAGCACUGAAUUUCCUAGGGGGCGUCAAAGCUUACCGAAGAAUAUCAAACUCCGAAUGCCGUGUAGAUGCUUAUCGGGAGUCAGACUAUACGAGAUAAGUUGGAUAGUCAAAAGGGAAAGAGCCCAGACCUCCAGCUAAGGUCCCAAAGUACGUGUUAAGUGGAAAAGGAUGUGGGAUUUCAAAGACAACCAGGAUGUUGGCUCAGAAGCAGCCAUACAUUCAAAGAGUGCGUAAUAGCUCACUGGUCGAGAGGUCCUGCGCCGAAAAUGUCCGGGGCUGAAACACGACACCGAAGCACAGGAUACCGCAAGGUAUGGUAGAGGAGCAUUGCUGGCGCGAUGAAGCAGUACCGUAAGGAGCUGUGGAGUGCCAGGAAGAGAGAAUGCCGGAAUGAGUAGCGAGAGAGAGGUGGGAAUCCUCUCGGCCGAAUAUCUAAGGUUUCCAGGGUAAAGCUGAUCUGCCCUGGGUAAGUCGGGGCCUAAGGCGAGGACGAGAGUCGUAGCCGAUGGACAACAGGUUGAGAUUCCUGUACUGCAGUAAGACAGAACUGUGGGGACACGUGUGGAGAGCAUAGGCGCGGAAUGGAAAGCCGCGUGCAAGCGAGGUAGGAGUCCUGUAGGAAAAACCGCAGGGCAAUCCGAAGGCGUGAUGCGGACCGAAAUCUAGUAGGGAAGUAUGUGAGCCAUGCGUCAAGAAAAGCCGCUAUUGUUCUUAUUGUACCCGUACCGUAAACCGACACAGGUGGAUGAGGAGAGAAUCCUAAGGCCGACGGAAGAAGCAUUGUUAAGGAACUCGGCAAAAUGACCCCGUAACUUCGGGAGAAGGGGUGCCACAGAGAUGUGGCCGCAGAGAAUAGGCUCAAGCAACUGUUUAGCAAAAACACAGGUCUAUGCAAAACCGAAAGGUGAGGUAUAUGGGCUGACGCCUGCCCGGUGCUGGAAGGUUAAGAGGAGAGGUUAGCGCAAGCGAAGCUUUGAAUUUAAGCCCCAGUAAACGGCGGCCGUAACAAUAACGGUCCUAAGGUAGCGAAAUUCCUUGUCGGGUAAGUUCCGACCCGCACGAA
rnacentral:rRNA from 1 species